AGGGAUCAGUGGCCAAGAUUUGGGCCAGAGCCAGGCCAGCUGCUUCCCUGAGAGUAGACAGCCCCAUGGAUGCAGGACAGGCAAUCUGGCUUGAUCUCUUCACUCUCCUUGUCAAGUGUAAAUGUCACUACGUGUCCUGCCAGAUAUGUGGAGAUGGCUGCGUGUUCUCAGAAAGUUUCCGGUUUCUCCCUCUUUGAGCAAGCAUUUCUCAUUCUUUCCAGCUUCCAUCCAGUCACAGGCUUGUGGAAGGCACUGCACACCUCGUCAAGCAAAGGAAAGUGUGCCCAUUGAUAAAUUAACCUUCCAAUGAAGUCAAAAGCGGGAGGAAAUAUUUCAGGACAAGAGAAUACAAAAAGAGUUAAACUACAUAGUGCCCAAUCGAGCACAAGGUCAAAGAGAACAACCAAUCCUGAUGGAAUUGAUGAAAAUUUUGAGCCAAGGCAAAAGAACUUGAACUUGUUUGGGGUUUGAGGUUGUGGCUGUUUAAUAUGUGUUAAAAGCAGGACUUCCUUGUCCCACAUUCUACCAAGUAUCUCAAAUUUGGCUCCUACCUAGCUCCUAUAAUCUAGUCCCUUUUCCAUCUUUCAUGGUGUGGCAAACUUUCUAUAGUCCUGGCUACUGAUUGGGUAAAUGCAUAAUUGCUUAUAUCAUUUUAAUUGGGCCCUGAUUCAAGGACCUGUUAUAGAUUUGUUUUUCCUUUACUUAUAUAUUUUUUAGACAUAAGAUUUUUACAUUUUGUAUUAUAUCCACAAGUUAUUUUUCUCUUUUAUUUGGAUUUUUUCAUGUUUUUUAUUUUCUUUUGCAAAUUGAUUCAUAUAUCUCAUAACUCAGCCAUACAUUCCUGAGUGAUCCCUAUGUUUGUUAUUAUUAACUUCAGGGGGGCCAAGUUAUUGUUGUGAACUUUGAUUUAAAUUUGAGCAAUUUUAGGAUAAGAAACUUGCUACCUCCCAGAAUCCAGAAUGCGCCAUGAAGAUAGAUGACGGCAGAGACCACAUGCUGCACCAGAAGAUCCAAAGUGAAUGUUGGGAUGUGAAUUGAACUAUGGGGGGUUAAAAUGCCUUUGUUUUAAAUGUAUACUCUUAUGCCAAAGGGGACUGCCCCCAAAUUGGCUUUUUGUCAACAUAGUAAUCAUUGGUUUUGUUCUCUUUUCCUUUUAUCCACAAAUUAUUCUAAUUUUUAGGUUGAUUAUGUUUCCAUGAUCCUUUGGGGGAAACUGGUUUCCCAAUAGGAUCAUGGGGGAGGGGGGAAAUAUGUAUAAAUGGAGAUUUUGAGCCUUUGGACUUCAUCCCCCAGAAGUCCCUUAUUAUUUCCCAAAAUUUCAUUUUCCUAUGUCCCCACAUUUUGUGUGAUUGCAUUUAAGUGGCUGUAACUCCUCCCUCUUUCUCUCUUGGACCUGUGACCAAGCUGAAAUCAGGCAAUUCUUUU
rnacentral:lncRNA from 1 species